AGCAGACUUCAUGGUGAUAGAGACUGAUACUGAUGAGAGGGCACCCAUCAUCCUAGAGAGGCCAUUCCUGAACACCUCGGGAGCUGUCAUCUACGCUAGUGCUGCCAAGAUCAGUUUCUACAUCAAGGGGAAGAAGGAGACGUUUUCCUUCAAGAAACAAGACUACACAAAUCCCAGAGCAAUCCUGACAUGAACCAAGGAAGAGGACCAACAGGAGGAACAAGAACAAGCAAAUGUGUACCGAGUCAGCUAAGAUGGUCACUGCAGCUCAAGGAGGUCAAGAUCGUCAACUCAAGUCACCUUUCUUGAUCAAGAAGGACGACCCUGGUGUCCCAAGCAUCGAGUGCACAAUCAACGGAUAUUCUUUUCAGAAGACACUCUACGACACCGGAUCUAACGUCAACAUAAUGGCCGCAGUCACUUAUCAGCUCCUGCAUGGAACCAUGUCCCUACAACCAACAUACAUUCAGCUCCAGAUGGCAGAUCAGACAUUCUGAAAGAUUGAAGGUUAUUGACAUGGGAGAAGACGAGUACGAUCCACCCAUCAUCCUUGGAAGACCGUUCUUUAGCACCAUUAAAGCAAUCAUAUACAUUGGAACCAGAGAAGUCCACAUGCACUUCCCCUCAAAGAAGGUACGCCACUGUUUUACUAACCCUAACUAUAUAGUUGACGACUCUAAGCAGGUCAGGACAAGAAGAAGACGACGCAACUGCAACCAGAGGAGGCAAAUUAUCAAGGACGGAUGGGUAGACUAUGAAGGAGAAGUUCUAAGGUCUGAAGACAUACAACUUGAACAGAACUAUCCUGAGGAGACCGUAGCACCGAGUCAGGUGUGUAGAGAGAAGAUAGUUAUACAUGAAGAGCAGGCGCCGCCAGAACCACCGACUACGCCAUCCAGCGAAUCCCAGGACGACUGAGAAAACGGCGGGUCCCGUUCGGAGGACUUAAAAACACCGAACGCCUUGCCAAGAGGUAAACUUGGUAGUUAUCUUUUUCCUUUCAAUUAUUUAAAAUAGUUUGCUUAGUUAAUCAGGUUCAUGCUAUCUUGAAAAGAAAAUAAAAAUGUUAAAAAUCAUAAGCCCCAUGUGAGUAUGCUCAUGGCAUAAAACCCAUAAGAACAUUCACUGUGGUGGCGUAAAAAUAAAAUAAAUAUAUUCCUGUCCUAUAAAAAUAAAAUUAUAAAAAUAAAUUUAUGAUCCUACUAAAGAGCAUAACAUUUAUUGAGGAGGCUCAACAUGAUAAAGGCUAGAUAUUUAUGCUAACACUUAACUAGUUCCACAAAGCUUUGUUGUCUAUUUGAGCUCCACAGAAUUCAAGGAUCAAAGAAGACUAGCAGAUGGAGGACAUCCUAAUCGCUGUCAGGGUGCUGCCGACAUUCAAAUACACUUCCACCACUUGCUAGCUACAUCAGAAGAAAUUACGUCAAAAAUCUAGCUUGUGGGAGAGCACCCCCAUUUAUCCAGCUAAGUAUUCUACUCACGUUUAUAGUUUACUCUAAUAGUAAAAAGAUGCAUAAUCAUAAAAACUCAAAUAAAGAUUUUGUGCUUAUAUAUAUAUCUUUGCUUAGUUUGCUAAAUAAAAAAAUAAAUAAAGUUUGCUAUGAACCCUCAUGAUAAGCUCUCACAUGGAAAUGAUGUAUAGUUGCUCGGCCAUGACUAGUUCUAAAAAUUGAAAUCUCUCUCAAGUUUAGGCAUGACUGUUAUUAAUUAAGAUUUGCUCUAAACCGGAACUUGUGAGGAGAGUACUUGAUCUGAAGUCUAAGUCGUUAACGGAUAUGAUAUGGGAAGGUUGAGCUGCUGUUUAUCUGUUCCUAGAGAUGCUAGAAUUCUGGAGAAUUUUAUCUUUGAAAAUCUUUAAAAUGUUGCAUGAUGAGUUCCUGUAUGAUGAGAGUUUAAAUUCCUACCACAGCCAUAUAUACAUGCUUGUUAGACUAUGAACCACACAUUUACUUUUUACUGCUUAUGAGCAUUGAGUGUGGUCAAGCUGUGUAGACCCUUAGGAGCUUGUCAUGUGGUUAAAUCAAGAUUCACUUGUACGUUCACUCACACAUGCUACUUCUACUCCAGAAGUACCAUCCACAUAUAUCCAUCCAUUUCCAUCUCAAGAACCACCCAAAAAUAUUCUACUUCUAAUCCGGGAGAGAAUAGCCAAAAACAUUCUCCUAUUUCUGUUUUUCCCCUUUGAAAUAAAUGCUCAAGUUAUCUUGUUACUACCACUUGCUAUAUUAUCUCAUGAGAUGAGUGCUCUAAAAAAACGAAGAAAAAAAAGAAAAAAAAUAUAUAUACGAGGAAAUAAAAAGGGGCAAGUGCCCUGAACCUCGAAGAAAAGAAAAAGUGAGACGAGAGGUAAAAAUGGACAAGUGUCCGAUAGUAGAAUUAGGGGUACAAGAUACCCACCUGAGAGAAAAGAAAAAGAAAACAUUGAGCAUCUCAUUCUCCUCAAAAAGUUUCAAAAGUGCAAGAAAGGUAUGUAUCCCCUCAAAAGAGCAUAAGUAGAAUUAGACUUUCACCAUUGUUAUCACCAUCAUUACCAUGCAUCAUUCAUUCGCCACACAUGCACAUCUUGAUUUGACUUAUUGACUUGUUCUUCUGGAUCCAUGGUUUGACUAUGCAAUAAAUGUCUUGUAAGUAUGUAUUAGCUGUCUCCCACCUAUGAGCUCCAGAUAUCAAAAGCCUUAUUAGAGUAGGGUGAGAGAGAAGGCAAUGUCAUUAUGCCUCAUACCAAUAAUACCACAUACUUUGAGAGAAGGCAUACACCAUUACUGCCUUGGUAAGGAUCCAGAAAUACCACAAAAGAGAGACUUGAGAGAGUCAUACAAGGAAUCUCUGAGUUUUAUUUGAAAAUCUGCAAAAACUCCAGAGCUAUAGUUGAUCAAGAACAUGAGACAUGGUGCUUGACUAGACUGUUCUAUCUUUUAACUACUCAAGACAGAAGUGACGGUUAUAAGUCCCAUGGUGAAAGGUAAAUGAGUAAGUUUUAAGUCUUAACAGUUUACUCUAACCAGAGAUGAGACCUUGUUUAAACGCAUGUGUAUCUUUAAGUUAUGAAACCACUGCAGAAACUCUUGAGUUCAUCUUUGCUCAGGGACGAGCAAAGGUUAAGCUUGGGGGAGCUUGUUGACGGUCCUUAAUGCUCAUAUUUAACCAUCAAUUAAUCAUAGAAAAGGAUCCAAAUGCAACCAACACCUAGACUUAGGGUUUUAUCUAACAGAAUUCCACGAGUUUUGGUGUUUGUCUAUUUCUGCAGGGGGUUAUCAGGAAAUAUGGAGGAAUGGCCCACACGUCGGGUUUACAUAGAGAUAUUAACGUGCCGUGCAAUUUUCUAUCAUCUAGAAGACUCCAGAAGCCACGGGACCGAAGCGGAAGCCGAGAGGCCUCAGGGACAGGGCGCCCGCCCUAGUCCUGAGGGCGCCCGCCCUCCCCCCUGGACCAAUCAGGGUGAAGUUCGGGGAUCAUGCUCCACCGACCUAAUACUUCAAGGAAAACCACACGAUCAAUGUCGGUUUGAUCCGACGGCCCAGAUUCACUUGAAGGGACUAUAAAACCAGACCCCCCUGGCCCCUGGAGAUCAUACCUCUUCUACAGAAUCAAAGCUAGGGUUUCAAUUCUUCAUCCAAGUAGAGAGGAUCCCUCUAGUUCUUCUAGUUCUACCUCUAGUUCAUCUAGAUCUAGUUCUAGUUCAUCUAGUUCUAGUUCUAGUUCCUCUAGUUCUAGUUCUAGUUAGUUCUAGUUGUAAUCUAGAAAAUAGGGAGAGAGAAGAGGAGAGCGGAGGAGGAGCCGGAUCUGUCGGAUCUUCCUCAACAUUGUACUUUUGCAGCAACUGGUUAGUCCUUCAUCGUUCUCCAGGUUCUUCAAUUCAUAACUCCUGAGUUCUCUAAUUACUUUUAUUUACAUUCAAGUUAUUUAUUGGAUUCCCGCUUGCAUCAAGUGCUCUAGUCUUUGAAACAUUAGAGUAAUAAUUAAUAGAUUAGACGUGGUGUUUAGUCUUGCAAUUACCUGGAAUUGCACCCAAUCCUACGGAUUGUUGUGGUAGCCCUAGGGUAGUGACAGCCCUAACGGUCGACGUAUUCCACCACGUUCGGAUCGGUGUUUGUAGGACCGUAGUCAGACCUUCCUAGCCCCCUUCUCAUCUCUUUCUGUGGUUAGUGCUCUGAUGUCCCGAUAUAGAUAAUCUUGAAGUAAUUCUUGAUUCUAAGAUCAACUAGAGAACUCUCAGGAAACUUCCUCUCUUCCCACCAAAAAUAUUCAUAUAGUUAUCCUUGGGCGAUCUUGGAUCUUAAUUAGUACACUCACGUUCCUUGUGGAAAAUCGAUACUCUGGAAUACUCCCGGGUGAAGGCUACAUCGGUAUCCGUGCGCUUGCGGAUUUUUUCUGUUUGCGUUUAAAAUACCCAACAUAUAGUCGGUGGCAUACAUACGUGCACUCUUUAUACGCAACUAUACGGUCUACACGUUUCGUUGUUAGGGUACCUGCAAAAGAUUUCAUUUCAGUCCAGCCCCACAUUAGUAUAUGUGCAGGAAUGUAAAUCCAAUCAUUAGCAAUCAAGCUACGUACUCCGAUAUAUAUUCCCAAACAUAUAUCGCAGCACACUGUCCAUUUUGGAUACACCCACAUAUACAUCAAAUAUGUAUACAUGGCUGUACCUACUACCCACAAUUAAGUACCUUCAUAUAUACAUGUGUGAAACAUGUAAAUAUUCCAGUAACCACAACUAACACUCCCCUAGACCGACGGUUGGACGGUCAUGCUCUCACAGCUCACACUUACCGUAGCGUAGAGGCAUUUAGAUCCAUACAUUACCACUCAAGCAAGUGGCAUCCAUACAAUUUCACGCCGUAUGGACGACGAAAGAAAACAAACACGCUUACCAUGGCGUAGAGGUAUGUGAUCCAUUCAUUACCACUUAAGUAAGCGGUAUCCAUAUAAUUUCACGCCACAUGGACGACGAGAGGAAAAACCCCCAUGUUAGUAAUAUUAAGCCACCUAGAAGUCCUUAUAUGGGCAUAAAGGGUACGACCACUGGCAUGGUAUAAGUUAUUAAAAUAUUUUUAAAACAGACCUACAUAUAGCCUAAUUUUGCCAAAUUAGCUUGGGAAAACCAAAUUCAUUUGUUUUUAAAUACAUCUAUGAUGGUUAAAUGCUUAAUUUUGCUUUGAUGCCAGCUGUAACAGAACCGUCCAAUUUAUAAGAAUUCAAGUGAAUUAGUGACCACUGAGGCAGUCAAGCCAAUGGACUUGAGCCCAUAUAAACCCGGUAGUCCGACGAAAUCUCAAAAGACCUCGAUUCAACCAACAUACAACCAAGAUCGUACAUGAUCAAGCAUCACCAUCACAGAUUACAACAUUCAACACAGAACAUAGUUUUACAUCACAUCAGAGUUUAAAAGAGGUUAUUACAAACCAUAGCAGUAGCGGAAACAAAGUAGUUUUGAAACAACUCCAACUCAGUUUAUAAUACAUGCCAGUUCCAUGGUCAAGUCCCAACAAAAGCAUAACUGAAGGUAGAAGAGUGAUCACGCCCAUGAUCUAUUCAUCAUCCGCAGCUGGGUGAUGACAGUUAGCGCAAUAGCCGUGAUAGACGACAUCAUCUGCAACAGGGGUAAAUAAAACACUGAGUACGAGAAUGUACUCAGCUAGGCUUACCCGUCACAAACCAGAAAUAAAGUGACACCAAGGAGUAUGCAAGGCUGAUCUUUGUGGACUGGUUUGACUCACCUUUUGCAUAAAAGCCUUUGUUGUAAGUAAUUCAUUUAUCACAUUUCAGCAGCAGGUUCAUUGCUUAGCAACUAUCCACUAGAUUAGCACCUGUUCUAAGCAUACACUUGAGUUUUUAAUCAUUACAAUAAUAACCAUAUCCGGAUUAUCACAUAGCCAUCAUCAUUCUCAUCAUAACCAUUAAGUUUAUUUAGUGAAUUCUACGUUGCCGCUGCCCAAGUCAAGUUCUCACUAUCCGAGAGAGACGGCGAUUCGAAUCGAUUCCUAUCCAGCUGGAGGGGUAUUCCUAACACUCACCCAAGCAUACUUCAUGACGGCAGCUCGGAUCACCUUUAGCACAACUCCGGACCAAUUCGCGGAUCCGUCCAGCGCCGCACCCCCAGGGACCGCCAAUCUGCCAGGGUCAGGACUCUAACCUGACACCUCGGUCUUACGCCAUUGACUCCCCGCACAUCCUUGCUACCAACCGGGGUGCGCACUCAUACAGAACGGGCUAUCCGGCCUGAGUUGCACUCGUAGGCUUCACGGUCGGAACGACUUAUCCGGCCAACUAAGUGAUAGGCAUGCGUUCAACAUGACACGGGGACGUACAGCGAUUCGGUCCUUAAACGACACAGACGGGGAUAGAUUCACACCCAAGACCUCCAUGCCUUGUUGCUGCACUAUCGUCAUCCCGCCCGGUCUCAAGUUCAUUUUUAGCACCUGGUUAUCUCCACGAUAGCAAAUAUAGCCAACCGUGAUCAUCAUCCACCUAACUCUCGCAGGUGACAGGAAAUCACCCGGCUUCUACCGAGCUAAGCAUGGCUAAGCAUUACUUCGAUCCUGGACCUACUUUGGUAAUGUUUGAGGUGGACAAGGUAGUCAUUAUGCAGCAAGGGUGUCAUAUCAAUGCCUACCACUUAAUGCAACAAUAUAUAACCAUAGUCAUUUGAUAGCUGAACAUGAUAACAAAAUAGUAGGAGGCUUAUAAUGCUCCGGGGCUUGCCUUCGACGUAUGUAGAGGGACGAUGGUCAGGGCACUCCGGCAAGUCCUCCUCCUCCUCAGCUCCUUGAGGUAGCUCCCCUUGCUGUCCUUCCGGCUCCGGCAACUCGAACUCCAGCACCAUCACUCCCUUGGGUACACCUAUGUAUGCAUGACAAGGAGAUGAAUAUAGAGAAUGCACAUAUGAUGUAUGAUGCCAAGAUGAGGAGCCAAAGGAACAUAAAACAAGGUAUAACAUGAGCAUAAACUUCUAAGAUUAAGUGAAUCAUGGAAAAACAAGUAGGUGCAUACUUCUUCUCUGGUAGAGAGACUAAAUAGACAAGUUAUACGAAUUUUAGCUACUCCUACUCAGCCACUGGUUUAGUAGACAACCAACUUGUCCCAAGUUUCAGCCAUAACUUAGGCACCAGUUAACCAAACUAAGCACGUAAGUACUUUCUGGAAAGCUUAUAAAAUUGUCUACAAUUCACGUUUAGACAUCUCAGCAUGAUUCCCAACCGAAAUAUGCUAAAACAUACAAAGUUGGCUGGCUGCUCUGGAAAUUCCAGAGAGCAAGCACUUUGCAGCAGCUACUUGAAAUAUGCAUAACGUUCAAACUACUCAACCAAAUGCCAUGAAAUUUGGACACGAAGUAGAUCAGUAAGUUAGCUACAAGUUUGUUGUAGACAAGUUUCCCAGAAAAUAAGAUCUUUAAUUAGUUCUCAAGCAUUUGCUGUCAGCUACACAGAAAUGCUCUAGAAAAGGCAUAAAUAGCCAAAAAUAAUAUUUUGCACAAGUUGAGAAUGUAUCAAAGGAACAAUCCCAUUGCACUAGUAGAUAGAACAUAUCUAAGAAACACCAGGAAAAAUCAUGGCAAGGUCUAAAACUAUUUCUAUCAUCACCUUUUCCAUUUAUUUAAUUAUUAAGGUGAUUUAAUGAACAUAUACUCCAAGUGUUCCAAAAAUCGUAAGAAAAUUACAGCAAGCUACUUAUGCUAACAUAAGAUCACUGUAAAAUUUUCAGAACAUUUGCACAUACACAUUGUAAGAUAUAAAAAUAACAAGCUAGUAUAGGCAUGCAAGGCUUAAAUGUGAAACCUUAUCAAAAAGUGUCAAACAGCAGAUUUCAGAUUUUUCCUAACUUUUUCUACACAUAAGUACAACACUCUGCAAGUUUCAUCACCAAAGGAGUUAUAAAUUAAUUAUUAAAAAUACCACAAGAAACUCCUAUUUAAGCAAGAAUCAUUUUUAACUCCUCAACUAGGCUUCCAAAAAUAACGAUAAAUUUAUCAAAGACUACUCAUAACAUAAGUAACAACACCCUAAAUUUGCAUGUCCAGCAGAUCAAUAGAUUUCAAGAUAUAAUUACCCACUAAAAAUCCAAGAUUAAUUUAUAUCUAUUUAUAUCUGCAAAAACAUGGCAUGUUUCAUAUUUUUAUUAAAAACUAGACUCAUGCUGGAACCAAGCAAAAUUGGAGUCACUUAAUUUGGAUCUCUAAAACUCGAGAUAUGAAUUUUACAAAAACAGCACAGGAUCUGUAAACAGUGAACCAGAGGGGGGAAAACAGAGAGGCUGACACCCGGGACCCGCGCGUCAGUGAGACAGUGAUAGGAGAGAAGCUCGCCGCCGGCAAAGCUCAACGACGACGAGGUCUCCGUCGGAUCCAAGGGCAUCUACGUGUUCCUCUCAUCGAGGCGACUCUGUUGACCUACUUUACUCGCGCUCUACUGGACCCUAAGGUGCUCGCCGUCGGGAAUGGCGGAGCGGCGGCGCUGCGCGGCGUUACGCCGGCGGAUCCAGGCAAUGGCGACGCGGUAGAGCUUGCGGACGAGCAAGAGUGGCUCAAGGCGAAGCUAUAGGAAGAGGAAUCACGGCAAGAGGUGAACCAGAGAGGUCUGGCCACAUUGCCGGUGAUCUUUGUGAACUCUGGCGAGGUGGAGCUCGCGACGGAGAUGACAAUGUGACCUCACCGGUGCUCGGCUACGGGAAUGGAGUGGACGUCGAGGUAGAGGACGUCAAGGUGGAGCUCUGGGCGGGCUGGCUUGGCCGGAGGCGCGAUGAAACGGCCGGAGGAGCUCGCCGAAGCGCGGCGGAGCGCACCGAGGUGACGGCGGAGCGAAAUGUGCUGCGCUGAGCGAGUGGAGAGCACGUCUGAGGCGUCCACUCGGUGCGUGGCGACUUGGAGACGCCGUGGGAGCUGACAGGCGGGGUCGCCGUCGACGUACGGCCGACAGGUGGCCGGACACGCGGCGGCGGACGGUUCUGUCCAAACUGAAUCGAGCGAUUCAGUCGCCAUGGCCAGUGACUGAAACUCGAACUUUGUCAACAUUUUACUCUCAGCUCAAUCGGUGGUUUUGGCUGAGAUUUGAUCCUCUGGGUACAGCUACACGAGUUCUACAACUUUGAUUACACAAGCUCAGUCUAAAUCGGUCUGGAUUUCAAACUACUAAGCUUCAAACAACCCUAUGUCGAAACUGUGUGAUCCCAGACUUAGCCAAAUUUGGCUAAGUGUGAAAUCAGCCCUGAUUUUUGGUUUGUGAGCAAUUUUUGGAUGUGUUCUAAGCUUUUUCAUAAAAAUUCAUCAACAUAGCUUUUGUAGCUUAUGAAAUUCUUUACAACUUUGCUUCAGGUGUCACAGACAUGCAAGGUCUCUAACAUUACUUUCAUAAAACAUUUUUGAAAAGAGGUCUAGGGGGUCAAAAAGGUCAUUCUAGGGUUAACCAUGACUUAGGGGCAUUUUUGGCCAAAACCUUCAACAUGAACUUUGUUCCAAAUGAUAUUCUAAACAUGAUUGAGGUAUUUUGGAAGACAAUGUACAAUUUUUUGCAUUGGCUACCCCUUAUAGUCACUCAAUUCAAGUCACACAAGCAAUUUAAUCAUGUAGUGCAUAUAGCAAAUGGCAUGUGAUCAUGGUAUGAUGCUCAUGAGUGAUCAUGAUGAUGCUUAUGUUGAUGCAAUGCUCAUGGUUAACAUGCAAGCUAACACUAGGAGUGUUACACUAUUGCUUCUGUUGUUUUUUGUGUGGACUUCCUGGGCACACAUAUGGCUUGCCUGGUUUUUGUUCUUUAAAACCGGGUGUGACAAAGGUUGCAAUAAACCUGCAGGUUUAAGGUGAACUGCCUUUACCCUACAGUAAGUAUCACACCUAGCAACAUAAGCUGCUAUCUCCUUCUUCAUCUUGGUCCACCAGAAACGAGGUUUCAAGUCUUGGUACAUUUUGCUACUACCAGGAUGAAUGGACAACUAGGAAGAAUGGGCUUCAUCUAAAAUUUUGUUGCGUAGGUCACGGUCUUUAGGUACAACUAGUCAAUCGUCAAACCACAGUACACCCUUCUCAUCUACCCUGAAAUGCUUGGUGUCUUGCUCUUGCAUUUUUCUUUUGAUAUGGAAAAUACCAGGAUCAGACUUUUGGAGCUCUAUGAUUUGACUCUCUAACGAGCAACUGACUACGAUGUUGUGCAGGACCACAUGAUGCAACAAAUUGAAGCCUUCCUCUAGGAGAGGUCUAACAUGUUGUUUCCGACUGAGAGCAUCGGCUACAACAUUGGCUUUGCCUGGAUGAUCGUGUACUUCAACGUUAUAGUCCUUUAUCAAUUCCAACCAUCUUCUUUGUCUCAUGUUCAACUCGGGUUGUGUGAAGAUAUAUUUGAGGCGAUGAUAAUAUCCAGCUAGACCGAGAAAACUCUGAACUUCGUGCACUGAAGUCGAGGCCUUCCAGUCUGUUACCUCUUGCACUUUUGACGGGUCAACAGAAAUACCCUCUUCAGAUAAAAUAUGGCCUAGGAAAGGCAUUUUCUUCAGCCAAAACUCACACUUGCUGAACUUGGCAUAGAGCUGAUGUUCUCGCAGUCGAGUGAGUACUAUCCGAAGAUGCUUCUCAUGGUCUUGAGCAUUUUCAGAGUACACCAAAAUGUCAUCGAUGAACACUACCACAAACUUAUCCAGUUCAGGCAUGAACACCGAAUUCAUCAGGUACAUGAAAUGAGCAGGGGCAUUAGUCAGACCAAAGAACAUGACUAGAUACUCAUACAACCCAUACCUGGUAGAGAAAGCCGUUUUAGGAAUGUCUUCGGGUCAAAUCUUGAUUUGAUGAUACCCGGAUCUCAGAUCAAUCUUGGAGAAUACUUUUGCCUAUACAUAGAGUCUCAGCUGAAAUUCAGAUUACAUGUUCAUUACAUAAAGAGAUGGAACUGAUACAUGAGCAUGGGAACUAUUGCUAGGCUACAUAUCUUCCUCAGAUUCACCAUUAGAAAUUAUGCCGUCAUCCUGAUCUUCCUCACUAGGAGCUUCUUCAUGAUUAAAGGGAACAGGGUGCGGAAUAGGAUUUAUGAUAUUAUUUAGGCAAUGGACAUCUAACUGCAGCUCAGCAAUCCUAGUGAUCAGCUCUUUCUCUCUAAUCUCAGCAUGGAACAAAGCUCUAACUCUAGCAGCUUCUCUAUUCUCAGCCAAGCGCAUAGCCUCAUCUCGCUCUCUAGUCAUUUGCAUCAUGCGGGCUUGUGCCUCAUUGCGCUCUCUAACUGCAUUUUCAACUUGGUUGUGGCGGGCUUGCAAAGUGGUGUGAUAGUUUUGGAUUUCAGCUUGUGCAUCGCUAAAAGCCUUGCGGUGCUUGCGCGCGCGCUUGCGCAGUUUGCGCUGUCCAACUUGAGCUUGUUGGAGCGCUAGCAUGGCUUCUAUGUAGGUGUCCUGGCGUACAUAGUACAGCUUAAGUACCGCCAGCAUGGCACUCAUGGCAGGGCUAGAGCUAUAUCCUAGUAUGGUUUCUCUCAUCUCUAGAGGCUUAGUUCCUACUUGGGACACAAAAGUGUCAGUCACACUCACUCUAGGAAAUGAUCCAGCUGGGCCAUUAAUUAUCUCAUCCUAGCCACUGUGGGUUAUUUGGGCAAGGGGGAACUGUAAUUUUGACAUCUACCCAAGGUAAGGAUCUUGCAUGCUCAGCCUCGGUCCAAGUGUACUUAGGUGGUUCUUCAUAUCCCACUGAACUUAGCACCCUACACAAUAGGGUAGGAGUGCCAAACAUGUUCAGAAAAUUCUCACUUGCGUGUGGGGCUGCCAUCUGUAGGAAGACCACAAUUGAGUAAGGGAGAUUAAUAACAAGAAAAGGUAAAUAGAUAUAUUUUCAGAAUUUAAGACUUAAGUAGUGCAUAAAGAAUGUAUGAAUGAUUCAUGAUGCAUGCACGUUCCAUACGUCCUUUCCAUUCCUAGAAGAAGGUUCAAACGAUAUAGUCGGUGGCAUACAUACGUGCACUCCUUAUACGCAACUACACGGUCUACACGUUUCGUUGUUAGUGUACCUGCAGAAAAUUUCAUUUCAGCCCAACCCCACAAAAGUAUAUGUGCAGAAAUGAAAAUCCAAUCAUCUACAUUCAAGCUAGGUACUUCGAUAUAUAUUCCCGAACAUAUAUCGCAGCACACUACCCAUUUGGGAUACACCCACAUAUACAUCAAAUAUGUAUACAUGGCUGCACCUACUACCCACAAUUAAGUACCUUCAUAUAUACAUGUGUAAAACAUGUAAAUAUUCCAGUAACCACAACUAACACUCCCCUAGACCGACGGUUGGACGGUCAUGCUCUCACAGCUCACACUACCGUAGCGUAGAGGCAUAUAGAUCCAUACAUUACCACUCAAGUAAGUGGCAUCCAUACAAUUUCACGCCGUAUGGACGACGAAAGAAAACAAUCAUUGCUUACCAUGGUGAAGAGGUAUAUGAUCCAUUCAUUACCACUUAAGUAAGUGGUAUCCAUAUAAUUGCACGCCAUAUGGACGACGAAAGGAAAAACCCCCAUGUUAGUAAUAUUAAGCCACCAAGAAGUCCUUAUGUGGGCAUAAGGGUAUGACCACUGGCAUGGUAUGUGUUAUUGAAACAACUUAAAACAACCCUAUGUAUAGUAUAAUUUGCCAAUUAGUUUGAGAAAACAAAUUCAUUUGUUUUUAAAUACAUCUAUGAUGGUUAAAUGCUUAAUCUUGCUCCGAUGCCAGCUGUAACAGAACCGUCCAAUUUAUAAGAAUUCAAGUGAAUUAGCGACCACAAAGUAGUCAAGCCAAUGGACUUGAACCCAUAUAAACCCGGUAGUCCGAUGAAAUCUCAAAAGACCUCAAUUCAACCAACAUACAACCAAGAUCGUACAUGAUCAAGCAUCGCCAUCACAGAUUACAAACAUUCAUCACAGAACAUAGUUAUACAUCACAUCGGAGUUUAAACAAAGUUAUUACAAACCAGUUUAGUAGCGGAAGCAAAGUAGUUUGGAACAUCACACACACAGUUUUAUUACAUGCCAGUUCCAUAGUCAUCCCAACAAAAGCAUAACUGAAGAUAAGGAAGUUGAUCAUUCCCAUGAUCUAUUCAUCAUCCGCAGCCGGAUGAUGACAGUUAGCACAGUAGUCGUGAUAAACGACAUCAUCUGCAACAAGGGUAAAUAAAACCCUGAGUACGAGAAUGUACUUAGCUAGACUUACCCGUCAUAAACCAGAAAUAAAGUGACACCAAGGAGUAUGCAAGGCUGAUCUUUGUGGACUGGUUUGACUCACCUUUUUGUAUAAAAAGCUUUAGUUGUAAGUGACUUACUUUUAACAUUUCAGCAGUAGGUUUAUUACUUAACAACAACCCACAAGAUUAGCACCUGUUCUAAGCAUACACUUGAGUAUUUAAGCAUCACAAUAAUAACCAUAUCUGGAUUAUCACAUAGCUAUCAACAUUCUCAUCAUAACCAUUAAGUUUAUUUAGUGAGUUCUACGUUGCGACUGCCCGAGUCAAGUUCUCACUAUCCGGGAGAGACGGCGAUUCGAAUCGAUUCCUAUCCAGUUGGAGGGGUAUUCCUAGCACUCACCCAAGCAUGCUUCAUGAGGGCAGCUCGGAUCACCUUUAGCACAACUCCGGACCAAGUCUCGGGUCCGUACAGCACCGCACCCCUAGGGACCGCCAAUCUGCCAGGGUUAGGACUCUAACCUGACACCUCGGUCUUACGCCAUUGACUCCCCGCACAUCCUUACUACCAACCGGGGUGGGCACUUAAACCGAACGGGGUAUCCGGCCGGAGAUGCACUCGUAGGCUUCGUGGUCGGAACGACUUAUCCGGCCAGCUAAGUGUUAGGCAUGCGUUCAACAUGACACGAGGACAUUACAGCGAAUCGGUCCUUAAUUGACACAGACGGGGAUAGAUUCACACCCAAGACCUCCAUGCCUUGUUGCUGCACUAUCGUCAUCCCGCCCGGUCUCAAGUUCAUUAUUAGCACAUGGUUAUUCCACGAUAGCAAAUAUAGCCAACCGUGAUCAGCAUCCACCUAACUCUCGCAGGUGACAAGAAAUCACCCGGCUUCUACCGAGCUAAGCUUGGCUAAGCAUUAUUUUCGAUCCUGGACCUACUUAGGUGAGGUAUGAGGUGGUCAAGGUAGUCAUUAUGCAGCUAGGGUUUCAUAUCAACGCCUACACUUAGUGCAACAAUACAUAAACAUAGUCAAUUGAUAGCGGGAUAUGAUAUAAAAAAUAGUAGGAGGCUUAUAAUGCUAGGGGGCUUGCCUUCAAUGUAAGUAGAGGGACGGUGGUCAGGGCACUCCGGCAGAUCCUCCUCCUCAGCUCCUCGAGGUGGCUCCGCUUGUUGUUCCUCCUCAGCUCCUCGAGGUGGCUCCGCUUGUUGUCACUCCCUCGGGCAGUUCGUACUCCACCUAUGUAUGCAUGACAAGGUGAUAAAUAUAGGGAAUGCACAUAACAUGCAAUAUGUCGUGAUGCUGAGCCAAGGAAUACACAACAAAGUAUAAACAUGGGCAUAAACUCCUAAAAUUAAGUGAAUCAUAGAAUAACAAGUAAGUGCAUACUUCUUCUCUGGUAGAGAGGCUAACUAGACAAGUUAAUCAACCUUAGCUACUCCUACUCAGUCACUGGUUUUAUAGACAGACCAACUUGUCAAACGUUUCAGCUAUAACUUAAGCAUCAGUUGGCCAAACUAAACAAUUAGAUACUUUCUGGAAAGCUUAGUAAAUUGUCUACAACUCACUUUUAGACAUCCCAGAAUGAUUCCCAACCGAAAUAUGCUAAAACAUACAAAGUUAGCUGGCUGUCCUGGAAAAUCCAGAGAGCAAGCACUUUGCAGCAGCUACUUGUAACGUGCAUAACUUUUAAACUACUCAACCAAAUUUCAUGAAACUUGGACACGAAGUAGAUAAGCAAGUUAGCUACAAGUUUGUUAUAUACACGUUUCCCAGAAAGAAUCAUCUUCAAUUAGUUCUUAAGCAAUUGCUAUCAGCUACACAGAAUUGCUCUAGGAAAGGCAUAAAUAGCAAAAAUAAUAUUUUGCACAUAACAAGAAUUUAUCAAAGGGUCAAUCCAAAUACACCAGUAGAUACAACAUGUCUAAGAAACACUAGAAAACAUCAUGGCAAGGUCUAAACUCAUUUCUAUCAGCACCUUAUCCAUUUAUUUAAUUAUUAAGGUGAUUUAAUGAACAUGCAUCCCAACUGCUCCAAGAAUUCUAAGAACAUUACAGCAAGCUACUUAUGCUAACUCAAGGUUACUGUAAAAUUUUCAGGGCACAUGCACAUACAGAUUGUGAGAUACAAAAAUAACAAGCUAGCAAAGGCAUGCAAGGCAUAAAUGUGAAACCCUACCAAAAGGUGUCAAACAACAGAUUUCAGAUUUUUCCUAGCUUUGUUUACACAUGAGUACAACACUCAGCAAGUUUCACCACAAAAGGAGUUAUAACUUAUUUAUUAAAAAUACCACAAGAAACUCCUGUUUGAAAAAGAAAUAUUUAUAACUUCACAAUUAGACCUCCUAAAAUCAUGAUAAAUUUAUCAGAGCCUAUUCAUGUCAUAAGUAACCAUACUCUAAAUUUGCAUGGCCAUCAGAUCGACAGAUCUCAAGAUAUAAUUACCUCCUAUAUAAUCAAGAUUAAAUCAUAUCUAUUUAUUUCUGCAAAAACAUGGCAUGUUUAAUAUUUUUAAUAAAAACCAGAUUACCACCAAAACCUAGCAAAAUUAGAACCAUGUCAUUUUGAUCUAUAAAACUCGGGAUAUGAAUUUUUCAAAAACACCACAGAACCUGCUAUACAGUGAACCGGAGUGUGAGAGGGAGAGACUGACAGGUGGGAUCCGCUGACACACGGGACCCACGCGAUAGAGGGACAGAGACAGGGGAGAAGCUCGUCGCCGGCGAAUCUCGACGACGGCGAGGUCUCCGAUGGAUCAAAGGGCAUCUACGUGUUACUCUCCUCAAGGCGACACCGUUAACCUACUUCACUCGCGCUCUACUGGACCCUAGGGUGCUCGCCGUCGCGAACGGCGGAGCGGCGGUGCUGCGCGGCGUUACGCCGGCGAAUCUAGGCAACGGCGACGCGGUAGAGCUUGCGGACGAGCAAGAGCGACUCAAGACGAAGCUAUAGGAAGAAGAAUCACGGCCGGAGGUGAACCAGAGAGGUCUGGCCACGUUGCCGGUGAUCUCUGUGAACUCCGACGAGGUGGAGCUCGCGACGGAGUUGGCAAUGCGACCUCACCGGUGCUCGGCUAAGGGAAAGGAGUGGACGUCGAGGUAGAGGAAGUGGAGGCGGAGCUCUGGGCGGACUGGCUCGGCCGGAGACGCGAUGGAGCGGCCGGGAGAGCUCGCCGAGGCGAUGGCGGAGCGAAAUGGGAGGCUCUGGAGGGGUGAAUGGCGCGUCUGAGGCGUCCACUCGGUGCGUGGCGUCUUGUGGACGACGUCGGGGCUGAUAGGAGGGGUCAACGACGGUGGACGGCCGACACCUGGCCGGACACGCGGCGGCGGACGGCGACUGUCCAAACUGAAACGUUUUCUUAAUCGCCCGAUCCCGACGACUGAAACUCCAACUUCGUCGAUGUUUUACUCUCAGCUCACUCGGUGGUUUUGGCUCAAAUUUGUUCCUUGGGUUAGAGCUACACGAGAUCUACAGGUUUGCUUACAAGAUCAAAGUCUAACUCGGCCUGGAUUUCAAACUACAAGGCUCCCAAUAACCCUAUGUCGAAUCUACCGAUUCCCAGACUUAGCCAAAUUCGGCUAAGUGUAGAAACAGCACUAUUUUCGGGCAUGUAGGCCACUUUUGGUCAGGUUCCAAGCAUUUUCAUAAACCUUCAUCAACAUAACUUUUGUAGAUUAUAAAAUUUACUACAACUUUGUUUCAAGUGUCAUUUACAUGCAAGGUCUCUAAAAUCAGUUUCAUAAAACAUCUUUGAAAGGAGGUCUAGGGGGACAAUUAGGUCAACCUAGGGCUAAUCAUGACCUAGAGGCAUUUUUGGCCAAAACCUCUAACAUGAACUUUGUUCAAAAUUUUGUUCUAAACAUGAUUAAAGUAUUUUGGAAGACAAUGUACACUUGUAUGCCUUAGUCACCCAUUACAAUCAACCAUAGCAAGUCAUAUAGCAAUUCAAUCACAUAGUAUAUGUAGGAAAUGGCAUGUGAUCAUGGUAUGAUGCUCAUGAGUGAUCAUGAUAAUGCUUAUGUUAAUGCAAUGCUCAUGGUUAACAUGCAAGCUAACACUAGGAGUGUUACAAACCUGGAGAUGCCAAUGCCACAGGAGGCUUGCCUGUCACGUCAGCCACUUGAGAUGUUCUAGGACCUUUUGCCAUCAAUUCGGGAGGCAUACCAUAGCCCCACCAGUUGGGAGGAACAGUCCCUGACAUCGCCGAUGCCAAUAAAUCUGUGGCAAGUUUGAUUUGCCCAUCUGAUGUUGAUGGAUUAGUCGUCAUUGGUGUGGAUUGCGCGUCAGUCAUCCCCAAUGUGCUUGGAGGGGAAUUAACUUCUGCACCCGCAACGGCCGUGGUAGCCGAUGGAGCCGUAACCACUGAUGACCCUGGCUGAUGAUAGACAGGACCCACAUAAGAUGGUGGUACUUGUCCUUCUUUGAAAGUUCUAGCCAUAGCAUUGAAUACCAUGUUGGACAGUACACCAGACUGAUUGAUCAAGGCACGGUUAAUAGCACUGUCAACCAUGUCUUGAAGUUUACCAGGAUUGACUUCAAAAGUGACUUGCCGAGGCAUCGGCAAUGCUUCCUUCUGGAUCACCUCGCCACUCCUGUUGAUACUGAAGGAUUUCAAGCAUAGCUGCUUGUAGUCCUCCAUGGCUUUUGCCAUAGCUUGCUUCUGCUCAUCUCUGAGGUUGGCUUCCGUCACGGGGAUUGUUGAUAUUUGGGAACGCAAUAAGGAAUUGAUCCGCAAGCGCACGGAUAUCGGUGAGCAUUUCACCCGGGAAAUUAUCCAGAGUAUCGUAUUUAUUUUUUUACCACUAGGAGAAAGAGUGCAUCUGACUAACCGGUCUAUUACUACUAACCUUUAGGCACAAAGAAUGUCUUUCGAUGUGAGUGAUAAAUAGAGAAGACUGCAACUGUAGUCUCCUUCUAACCUUGGUAAGGAUGAUCUACUGUUCUAAUGGGGAGGCUAACGGAAUCUAGACACCACAAAGGAUGUUCGACCCACACCUAUAAACCCUAUCCUUCCUGCUAACGAGAUGUGAUCUACAAAGGUAGCUCGGAAAUGUCACGUUCCUCACUACUACCACGGUCCAGCUAGUCAGGGAAUAUCUAUGAGUACCCCAGCCUAAACACCACGUUUACGCCAGCAAUGAUUACUCUAAACUCUACGCGAAGAGAUUAAAGUAAACUCAUAAACCAUAAGAACAAUAAAACAAGAACUUACUAGAAUUUAGAAGUCGAAUUACUGAAGAAUCCUAGGAGCAAGCUUCGGGUUAGGAGAACUUGAUCCCGCAGGUACAAGCUUGGAGUAGACACCGACAGGCCGGGCUUCCUCCACUCUACACCUCCACUCUAUCUCUCUCAAUCUAGUAGAAACUAGAAGAUCUAUUUCUACCUUACAUUGAUUGCUAAGCCUAAAAAGAAAUAUUAAUUAGAGAAGAGGUUUUCCUUCGAGGGCACCCCUCAGUCUCUAUGAUAAUUUCUUCAUGUCUUCCAGGGGCCAGGGGGGCCUCGCUUAUAUAGUCCUCCCCUUCUAUGCGUUUUUGGGUCGAUAGCCGAGGUGGUACUAUGUUUUUCUUGAUCCAAUAGGUUGGUGGAAUAUCCCGAGCGAAGGAGUCCUGAAUUGGCUCCAAAAGGGGGGGCGGGCGCCCAGGCUUCCAGGGCGGGCGCCCUGGGCCUGGCCCAGCUUCGCCUCCGCUUCGGUCUCGUGGCUUCUGGAGUCUUCUAGAUGAUGUAAAAUUGCGCGGUGCGUUGAUAUCUCUAUGUAAUCCUGACAUGUGGGCCUUUCUUCCUUAUUUCCUAAUAACCCCCUGCAGAAAUAGAUAAACAACAAAACUCGUGGAAUUCUGUCAGAUCAAACCCUAAUUCUAUGUGCUGGUUGCAUAUUGGUCCUUUCUCUUGUUUAUUUGAUAAUUAAAAUUGAUACUUAAGAACCGUCAACAGGGAUAACGUUCUCCAAGUCGAAAUCGUUGUUCGACAUGUUGAUCUUGAUCAUGAAUUUCUAUCCCACUGGGCGUGCCAAAAGAUGUGUUGGUGCAAAUGCUGAUCUACAAACACAAAGGGCUAAUACCCGAUCUAAACGUUAAGGCGUGCCAGCCGAUUUGACCUUACAAUCGACAAAGGUGGUACCUCGAACACUUUGGUCCCGACAACAACGAUGCGCCCUGAUGUCAUGGCCAAGAGGUGCUCACGCAGAACUUGAGAACACGCCGAGUUUGACUCGACGAAUUCCUAAGAACUCGUAGUAAAAUGAAAAUAUGAUGAAGUCGCCAAAAAAGUAGAUGCUGGAAUAUGUGUAAAAACUUGUGUUUGAUUGAUUGUUAGAUGUCUCAUUACAUUGCCACAGGGUCUAUAUUUAUACCCUGUUUAAAAUAACUACAACCAGACACGACUAGAACUCGAAUCCCAAAUUAAACAGAAUCCGUAUACAAACGAACUCUAAUAACUAAGGAAAUCAUUAAACUAUCCUCCGCAACCGAUCGGUACACUGCCACGAGUCAAUCGGCAAUCCUUGCGCUUUUCUUCAUAAGCAACGGCAGACCGCCUAUUAUAGCCAUCGGCAACCGUCAGCACAGGUCAUCGGCACGAACGCAUCACCACUCCUGGACUUGGUCAUAUUCGGUUGUUUUCCCAUCGGCACCAACCUUCAUCGGCAACUCCCCUGUAGACUAGUCACCAUUGCCCCAUCUGUCGAUCUACACUUCAUUAACUCCAGGUGCGUAUCCAAAGAUACAUGUCCAAAAACAGUGUCAACACACUUUUAUAAGCUUCUCCUUGGUUCUGGCGUUCACAUAAAUAAAGAGAUAAACAUGUAUGAUUUAUAACUCCAAAUUAACCAACCCAACUGAUUCAACAUGUUUUGGUCCUUUAAUCUUUGUUAAUAGUACUACCUCUAUGAUCCCACACUUCUAAUCAUAUGAGCUAAAAUGUUGCACAUUCAAUCUUUGGGAAGAUAUAAAGAAAAAGACAUAUACAUAGAUAGAUUAUAUUUUCAUAAGGUUGAGCGAUCUGAUUUGACAAAUGUUUUAAAAGCUACACUCAUGAUCUUAUUAUCCAUCAACUUUGUCUUGCUCACUAUGCUUAAGGUUAGAGAAGAACAAAUACACUUUUGGUUUUAUUGGUGUUUUCCACCAACAGGGCCCAUGCACUUGAUCUCUACCUUGUCUCUAUGAGCAGGUACACUUCGAGCAAAACAUGGUGGAGUUUUAUAACUCCCAGACUCCACCAAGUGAAGGACCUGGAUCUACGAGCACAAACACACUGAGCAGGAUGCUGCCAACGCCGCACUUCGAACUGCUGGGCAAACGAAGAACAUGGGUGACACCAUAUCACGAGGUCCAGACGUCAAGGUCCACACCGGAAUCAAAUGACGCACCUAAAGAAUGAACACGGUGAGAAGUCUUGUUCAGAAGACUUAAAACAUCGAACCCUCGCCGGAAGGUAAAAUCGGUAGUUAUCCAUAUUUAUCCUUUCUGCAUUCCCUUUACCCUUAAAUCAUUUACUUUCCUUAAAUGGCUUGUUAGUUAUUCAUGCUAUCUUGAAAAGAAAAUAAAAAUGUUAAAAAUACUAAGCGCCAUGUGAGUAUGCUCGUGGCAUAAAACCCAUAAGUACAUUCACUGUGGUGGCGUAAAAAUAAAAUAAAUAUAUUCCUGUCCUAUAGAAAUGAAAAUAUAAAAAUAAAUUUAUGAUCCUACCAAAGAGAGUAAUAUUUAUUAGAGGAAGCUCAACAUGAUAAAGGCAAAGAGAUUUUAUGCUAACACUUAACUAGUUCCACAAAGCUUUGUUGUCUAUUUGAGCUCCACAGAAUUCAAGGAUCAAAGAAGACUAGCAGACGGUGGACAUCUUAAUCGCUGUCAGGGUGCUGCUGACAUUCAAAUACACAUCCGCCACCUGCUAGCUACAUCAGAAGAAAUUACGUCAAAAUCCAGCUUGGAGGAGAGCACCCCCAUUUAUCCAGCUAAGUGUUUCUACUCGCGUUUAUACUUUACUCAAAUAAUAAAAAGAUGCACAAUCAUAAAAAACCCAAAUAAUGAUUUUGUGCUUAUAUCUUUGCUUAGUUUGCUAAAUAAAUAAAUAAAUAAAUAAAGUGUCUAUGCCAAAUUGAACUCCAAUGAUAAACUCUCACAUGGAAAUGAUGAAUAGUUGCUCUACCAUGACUAGUUCUCAAAAUUAAAAUCCCUCUCAAGUUUAGGCAUGACUGUUAUGAAUUAAGAUUUGCUCUAAACCUGAACUUGUGGGAAGAGUACUUGAUCUAAAGUCUAAGUCGUUAACGGAUACGAUAGAUAUGGGAAGGUUGAGCUGCUAUUUAUCUAUUCCAAGAGUUGCUAGAAUUCUAGAGAAUUUUAUCUUUGAAAAUUUUUAAUGUUGCAUGAUGAGUUACUGUAUGAAGAGAGUUUAAAAUCCUACCAUAGCCAUAUAUACAUGCUUAUUAGACUAUGAACCAUACAUGUGUGUAGACCCUUAGGAGCUUGUCAUGCGGUUAAAAUCAAGAUCCACUUGCACGUUCACUCAUACAUGCUGCUUCUACUCCGGAAGUACGCAUCUACAUACAUCCACUCAUUUCCAUCUUCAGAUUUACCCAAAAUUAUUCUACUCCUAUCCAGGAGAGAAUAGCCAAAAAUAUUAUCCUAUCCCUGUUAUUCCCCGUGAAAUAAAUGCUCGAGAUAUUUUGGUUACUACCACUUGCUACAUUAUUCCAGGAGGGUGAGUGCUCUGAAAAAAAAGUGAAUACGAGGAAAUAAAAAGGGGCAAGUGCCCGAAACCUCGACGAAAAGAAAAAGUGAGACGAGAUGUAAAAAUGGACAAGUGUCCGACAGUAGAAUUACGGGUACAAGAUACCCACCUGAGAGAAAAGAAAAAGAAAAUAUAGAGCAUCUCAUUCUCCUCAAAAAGCUUCAAAGUGCAAGAAAGGUAUGUAUCCCCUCAAAAGAGCAAAAGUAGAAUUAGACUUUCACCAUUCAUUCGCCACACAUGCACAUCUUGAUUUGACUUAUUGACUUGUUUCUCUGGAUCCAUGGUUUGACUAUGCAAUAAAUGUCUUGUAAGUAUGUAUUAGCUGUCUCCCACCUAUGAGCUCCAGAUAUCAAAGCCUUAUUAGAGUAGGAUG
rnacentral:lncRNA from 1 species